rnacentral:rRNA from 1 species
CCAGCAGCCGCGGUAAUACGAAGGGUGCGAGCGUUAAUCGGAAUUACUGGGCGUAAAGCGCGCGUAGGUGGCUUGAUAAGCCGGUUGUGAAGCCCCGGGCUCAACCUGGGAACGGCAUCCGGAACUGUCAAGCUAGAGUGCAGGAGAGGAAGGUAGAAUUCCCGGUGUAGCGGUGAAAUGCGUAGAGAUCGGGAGGGAAUACCAGUGGCGAAGGCGGCCUUCUGGACUGACACUGACACUGAGGUGCGAAAGCGUGGGUAGCAAACAGGAUUAGAUACCCUGGUAGUCCACGCCGUAAACGAUGUCGACCAGCCGUUGGGUGCCUAGCGCACUUUGUGGCGAAGUUAACGCGAUAAGUCGACCGCCUGGGGAGUACGGCCGCAAGGUUAAAACUCAAAUGAAUUGACGGGGGCCCGCACAAGCGGUGGAGCAUGUGGUUUAAUUCGAUGCAACGCGAAGAACCUUACCUACUCUUGACAUCCUGCGAACUUGUGAGAGAUCCCUUGGUGCCUUCGGGAACGCAGAGACAGGUGCUGCAUGGCUGUCGUCAGCUCGUGUUGUGAAAUGUUGGGUUAAGUCCCGUAACGAGCGCAACCCUUGUCCUUAUUUGCCAGCGCGUAAUGGCGGGAACUCUAAGGAGACUGCCGGUGACAAACCGGAGGAAGGUGGGGACGACGUCAAGUCAUCAUGGCCCUUACGAGUAGGGCUACACACGUGCUACAAUGGUCGGUACAAAGGGUUGCCAACUCGCGAGAGUGAGCCAAUCCCGAAAAGCCGAUCUCAGUCCGGAUCGGAGUCUGCAACUCGACUCCGUGAAGUCGGAAUCGCUAGUAAUCGUGGAUCAGAAUGCCACGGUGAAUACGUUCCCGGGCCUUGUACACACCGCCCGUCACACCAUGGGAGUGGACUGCACCAGAAGUGGUUAGCCUAACGCAAGAGGGCGAUCACCACGGUGUGGUUCAUGACUGGGGGAAGUCG